GACGAACGCUGGCGGCGCGCCUAACACAUGCAAGUCGAACGGAGCUGAGAGAAGCUUGCUUUUCUUAGCUUAGUGGCGAACGGGUGAGUAACGCGUGAGUAACCUGCCCUGGAGUGGGGGACAACAGUUGGAAACGACUGCUAAUACCGCAUAAGCCCACGAUCCGGCAUCGGAUUGAGGGAAAAGGAUUUAUUCGCUUCAGGAUGGACUCGCGUCCAAUUAGCUAGUUGGUGAGGUAACGGCCCACCAAGGCGACGAUUGGUAGCCGGACUGAGAGGUUGAACGGCCACAUUGGGACUGAGACACGGCCCAGACUCCUACGGGAGGCAGCAGUGGGGGAUAUUGCACAAUGGGGGAAACCCUUAUGCAGCGACGCCGCGUGGAGGAAGAAGGUUUUCGGAUUGUAAACUCCUGUCGUUAGGGACGAUAAUGACGGUACCUAACAAGAAAGCACCGGCUAACUACGUG
rnacentral:rRNA from 1 species